rnacentral:rRNA from 1 species
GAUGAACGCUGGCGGUGUGCCUAAUACAUGCAAGUCGUACGCAUUCUCGUUUCUGAUUGACGGUGCUUGCACCUAAUUGACGAGACAUUGGAAUGAGUGGCGGACGGGUGAGUAACACGUGGGUAACCUGCCCAGAAGUGGGGGAUAACAUUUGGAAACAGAUGCUAAUACCGCAUAAAAGUCAAAACCACAUGGUUUUGAUUUAAAAGAUGGCCUUUGUGCUAUCACUUCUGGAUGGAACCGCGGCGUAUUAACUAGUUGGUAAGGUAACGGCUACCAAGGCAAUGAUACGUAGCCGAACUGAGAGGUUGAUCGGCCACAAUGGGACUGAGACACGGCCCAUACUCCUACGGGAGGCAGCAGUAGGGAAUCUUCCACAAUGGGCGCAAGCCUGAUGGAGCAACACCGCGUGAGUGAAGAAGGGUUUCGGCUCGUAAAACUCUGCUGUUAAAGAAGAACGUAUCUAAGAGUAACUGCUUAGGUAGUGACGGUAUUUAACCAGAAAGCCACGGCUAACUACGUGCCAGCCGCCGCAGUAA